rnacentral:rRNA from 1 species
AGCGUAGACGGAGUGGCAAGUCUGAUGUGAAAACCCGGGGCUCAACCCCGGGACUGCAUUGGAAACUGUCAAUCUAGAGUACCGGAGAGGCAAGCGGAAUUCCUAGUGUAGCGGUGAAAUGCGUAGAUAUUAGGAGGAACACCAGUGGCGAAGGCGGCUUACUGGACGGUAACUGACGUUGAGGCUCGAAAGCGUGGGGAGCAAACA